rnacentral:tRNA from 1 species
CGCAGGAUGGAGCAGUAGGUAGCUCACAUGGUUCAUACCCAUGAGGUCGCAAGUUCGAGUCUUGCUUCUGCCACAA